rnacentral:rRNA from 1 species
CUUUGUAGUGAGUGGCGGACGGGUGGAGUAACACGUGGGUAACCGUACGCCCUAAACGUUAGGGGGAGGUAACAUUUGGUAAACGAAGAUGCUAAUAACCGCAUAAAGACCUAACACCGCAUGGUGUAGGGUUGAAAGAUGGUUUCGGCUAUCACUUUAGGAUGGACCCGCGGUGCAUUAGUUAGUUGGUGAGGUAAAGGCUCACCAAGACCGUGAUGCAUAGCCGACCUGAGAGGGUAAUCGGCCACACUGGGACUGAGACACGGCCCAGACUCCUACGGGAGGCAGCAGUAGGGAAUCUUCCACAAUGGACGAAAGUCUGAUGGAGCAACGCCGCGUGAGUGAAGAAGGUUUUCGGAUCGUAAAACUCUGUUGUUGGAGAAGAAUGUAUCUGAUAGUAACUGAUCAGGUAGUGACGGUAUCCAACCAGAAAGCCACGGCUAACUACGUG